AUUGAACGCUGGCGGCAUGCCUUACACAUGCAAGUCGAACGGUAACAGGUCUUCGGAUGCUGACGAGUGGCGAACGGGUGAGUAAUACAUCGGAACGUGCCUAGUAGUGGGGGAUAACUACUCGAAAGAGUGGCUAAUACCGCAUGAGAUCUACGGAUGAAAGCAGGGGAUCGCAAGACCUUGUGCUACUAGAGCGGCCGAUGGCAGAUUAGGUAGUUGGUGGGAUAAAAGCUUACCAAGCCGACGAUCUGUAGCUGGUCUGAGAGGACGAUCAGCCAGACUGGGACUGAGACACGGCACAGACACCGACGGGAGGCAGCAGUUGGGAAUUUUGGACAAUGGGCGAAAGCCUGAUCCAGCAAUGCCGCGUGCAGGAUGAAGGCCUUCGGGUUGUAAACUGCUUUUGUACGGAACGAAAAGCUCUGGGUUAAUACCCUGGGGUCAUGACGGUACCGUAAGAAUAAGCACCGGCUAACUACGUGCCAGCCGCCGCAGUAAGAC
rnacentral:rRNA from 1 species